UGCGCCCUUAGCGCAACUGGAUAGAGUGUCUGACUACGAAUCAGAAGGUUGAAGGUUCAAAUCCUUCAGGGCGCACUUA
rnacentral:tRNA from 1 species